AUUUGUAGCUCGAUUCGUAUCUAUAUUAUGUAGCUUUGGAUUUAAAACCCACAUUGUUUAUACUGUUCACUAAGAAUGAACACGAUGUACUACAAUAAAGCAGUUAGACUACUUGUAAUUGCAUUGUCUAUAGACGUGGUUUUAUUAUGUUCAGACAACUGCACCUGUUCCACAAGUUGGCCAUACAUUGGACAAGUUAAUGUAAAUUGCAAUUCUAAAGGAUUGACUGUGAUCCCAAGCAACUUCCAAAGUGACACAUACUUCAUAAAUAUGCGUUACGAUUCCAUUACCACUGUAGAAGACGGAGCUUUUCAUAAUAAGACAUUAUCAUAUUAUGUAGGUUUGAAUGCAUUUGCCAGGAAUUACACUUAUGCAAAUAACAUCAACAUGAUCAACUUAGACAGUCUAUAUCUUCGAUCAUUCUGUGAUUGCAACAAUCCCUUUUGGUCCUGGCUGAAAUCAAAAGCGUUUACUAUUGAGAGUGUAACCUGUUUUGAUCGGGAUAAUGUUCUACUGUCAAGUCUUCAAGCAAGCGGUUUUGAUAAUUGUUUCUACAAUACCUGUCAUCCUGAUUACUGUUCAAAUGGUGGAAUUUGUAGUCAGGACAACUAUGGCGAUUUAAUAUGCUCGUGUGUUAAUGACUGGAACGAUGCUUUAUGUACAGGUUAGAGAUACAAUUAAAAGUGUAUGUGAAUUGUUCACGAGAUAAACUUCAUAUUUUUCGGAAAAAUAUACCAUGUUCCUAUCGCAUGGACUACUAGCGGAUUUUAUUUUUGUACUACGUCCAUGUCAAAAGACUGAACUUUUUAAACGUGUGUUCAUUGAAUAAAUACAGAGCAAGCUCUUAAAAUCAUAAAAACUAAUUUUAAAGUUGCAUGGCAGUAUUUGAAUGCACGGUAAAUAAAAAAAUAUUAAUAUUUUUUUAGAUUAUUGGCUUAUACAUAAACAAUAACGUAGUCAUUCUUUUGAGACUAAUCGUUGAUGUUUAUUUUAAUUUAUCUGUAUAACUAUAACUUUUUUUCAUCUGACGUUUAACUAACCGAUUAAAUGUACAAUGGGUUUUACGUUAACGGUACCCAAAGUUUACCGGUAGAGAAAGUAAAAAAUAUCGUUGUAGAAUUCAAAAGCUUGAGAGCUAUUAGUUUUUUUAGAAUCUAGUACAACUUUGAAUUUACAUUAUAUUUCGUUACAUAAAUAUGUUUAAGGGUUAGCCUUGGCAAAAUACAAACUAUUGCAUUAUAUUUAAUUUAUCUUUCAAUGUUAUCGUAUAUUUUAAAGGAACAAUAUCAUGUUAAUAGAAAAAAAAAGGAAAUUGGGUAUCCAUCCAUGAAACAAAAUCAAUUCAUGCACAGCAAAAACACAAACAAAAAGCAAAGAAACAGCGCUUUUAUUGCUGUGUUUCAUCUCAAAGUCACAGUGAGGCCUCCAACACGAAGCAAAAACAACUCUCACCUCAUUGCAAGUUAAAGACGGCCCUUAGCGAUGACUUUAGCCGAAUUCUUUGCAAAAAUAAUUUGGAUACUCCAUUUUGUGACACGUUAAAGUAUUUCAAUAAAAAAAAUCAACGGAUUUUUGGACACUCAGUGAUACAUCCUAUAUUCACCGUGCAAUGAGAAUGUUUUGUUACUGAUACUGAUACUUCUUAUUCAUGAAUAUCAUAAACAAUACUAUAACUUUAAAUGUUAUGUUAUGAUCAUUGUCUCUUGAGUUCAAUAUGGUGACCCUUUAAAGUAAUAAAUGUACAUAAAAAUAAAUCUUUCUUAUACCUGCAUAGUUAAUUCAUUGUAUGGUAAUAUUUUUACCAUGGUAAUUGUAACUUGUUUAGUAUGCACAUGUGCUGACUUUUGUAUGACACGAUUUGAAACAUGAACAAAGCAACAAAAAAUGGUAGAAUUGUUUUGAAAAAGAGAAGUCCUUGAUUCAUUUCCCAGGAAUCGAUUUCGAAAAUCUAGGAAAAAAAUCAAAAUCUCUUUUAUGGUGUAAUAUAAUAAGAUCACCAUCGUUUUUUGGGGGGGAUUCGUGUUGCUCAGUCUUACGUUUUCUAUAUUGUAUUUUGUAGACUGAGGUAUGUCUUAUGAUCGUUUUUUUGUUUUUUUUGUCAUGACAUUUGCAGUUUGCCAUCGACUGAUAAGUUUGAAUAUAGCUUUGGUAUCUUCUGUUUCUCUUUAAAAAGUUCUCAUUUGUUGUUUUCUUAUUAUAUAGUAGUAUAAAGCUUUACAUUGUAUAUUUUGUGUAGAUUGCAUUGUAAUGAUAUACUCGUUUGCUAACCUUAACAUAUAUAUAUAUAUAUAGCUAGUCCCUUCAGUUUUAGUUGAUGUUUUUAUAUGAAUUAACAAUAACUGUUAUUAAAUUUAGUCAUAUGUUUGUACUUAUUUUACAUGUUUAGAAUAACAAAUGUUAUUUUAUAGCGUUAUUUCAUUCAGGUAAAUGUUGUUAUAGAUAAAUUCCAUCGUCAGUAAAGCUAAUGCAUAUAACACAAGAUUAUUUAUUUACUCUCAAUGUUCAGAUCUUGUAUGCUAUUUUUCUGUUACCAUAACUAAAUUUCCUCUUAUAUUUUACAGGUAUGACCAUGGCUGUGAAUAUUGGGAUUACAUAAUAGCUCAUUUACUAAAUUUACUUGGAAUUUAAAAAAAGAGCUUGAAACUAGUAUGAGUCAAUCAAAAACCAUUCGACUAAUACAAUAAAAACAUCCGGGUGCGGAUUUUCUGGCUGUGUUGAAGACCCAUUGGUGGGCUUGUGGUGUUUUCAGCUCUUUCGUCGAGUUAUUGUAUCUUUGACACAUUACCCAUUUCCAUUUUCAAUUUUAUCAACAUAACCUUAAGAAAAAUUAUGGGAAGCAAACAUUAAGUCAUCAAAAUCUCUAACAGAAAAUUGUAGAUUGAGAAGAAUGAAUCUUAUAAAAAUCCAGAGAUGAACGCAUGCUCUCUGGACGAGAAAGCAGAUCCAGUUGCACAAAUGGCAACAAUCUUAUUACUCAUUCCCAAGUAAAAAUCGGUGAUCAAUCGUAUUCAGUUAUGUCGCAAUAAAGGAACGCAGAAUUGCAGCUGGUAAUCUGUAACAAAUAUAAUCCAUAAUGGUCAACCAUAUUUACCAAAAAGAUUGACAAUUAUUUCGUAGAAUUGUACAAUAAGCUCAGUUGCAUUCAUUUUUAGAUUAUGUGUAUCUUCAGUUAUUUAUCAUGCUAUGUGUAAGUGUUCUAUGCUUUUACUUAAAAUCUUCUUGUAACAGGUUUUAUAUAUUCAGCAAUUGAAAAACUCGUAUUUAAUUUGUCGUUACAGUUCGGGGUAAAAAUCUAUUUUAACACCACCAUGUCACUUGUAAAGUAACAUUGGGAUUUUAUUUGGACAAUAUUCUCUGAGUCAUGUUUUCAGCAGAAAGAUAGAACAAUAAAAUCGUAAUGGAAAGGGAAAACUGUUUAAAGUCACCUUCAUACUCAUGCUAGGCCGCAGUACAAAUUUGUUAAAAGGUCGCAUUCGGUAAUGUCACUCUCAAGGAAAAGAUAAUUCGGUAGUGGUUUAGACAUAUAAAACAUAUAUAUUGUUCGUAUUUGACAAAGAUAAUCUAUAACCAUCGACCACAUUAUGAUGAUAUUCGAAAUCUUUCCAAAAUGAAGACUUUAACUUAACCGCUUGGAACCUUGAAUGCAAUAACUUUCUUCGUGGUAACCCUGUUUCAAGGUUACAAUGAUAGUAAAGCUAAAACUUUAAUGAGUCGUUAUGACAUAUAAUCCUUUUCAGAAAAUACAUGGUCAGUUGGGAAAAAAAGGAACUGCUUUUCUAAGUGACUUAGGAAAGAAUACAUUUGAAAUCUGAAAGAUUUCCGACAUGAUUCGGUCCUUCCUCAUUUUGACAACGGGAGUUCGAAGUCAUUUUUAAACAAAAGUGCCCCAGAAACAAUCAUACAUUAAUGUAUUGUGCCUACAAUUAGAACAAAACUAGACCAACAUUGAAAAGUCUAUAGCAGAAACAUUGAUGAAAUUGUUCGUCUAGUAUUAAAAACAUUAAGGAGAACGUAUUUAGUUACAAUUAGUUUUUGUUCAAUAUGUAUUUAUUAUUCGCUAUCCAUUUCAUUUGUUGAUAUAUUGUUUUAAAAAAAGUAAAAAUAUGUUUGAGAAAAACUUAGAAAAUACCCUAAAGUAACCAACCAUAAAGUAAAGAAAAACGGAAAAAAGAAACAAAAACUAAAAGAAAAAGAAAAAAAUUAAAGGAAAGAAUAGAAAAAUGAAUAAUUUAAUCAAAGAGAAAAAAAAUAUUAAAAGAAACUUACUUAGGAUUAGGCAUCACUCGGGAAAUAAUUUGACUCCAUGAAAAUGAAUCUAAACCUUUAACCGACUUCAAAGAAAAUCUCAAUAAAAUUGCCAAAGCUAAUGAAAGUUAAGACAGCAAUUUUAAAACAAUCCAGCGUGAAUUUAUGCCUGACAGUUAACCAUAUCACGGUAAAAUAGAGGUUGUCGAGGAAAAUUGCGCUGCUCUAUUCAACAAAUGUGCGAAAAUAACCUGACCAUCGAGGAUUAUCUGUGAUUAAAAGCUGCUUUUGACUUGGAAAGAAGACUGGCGCGAAUGGACGAGAUAACGAACUGGAGCGUUCUAUGCCAAUUCUUGUAGAAUUAAUGAUCGACAGAAGCGCGAUGGUAUCUGAAAGAAUAGUUAUAAAGUAAAGGGUACCACAAUUUCAAUUACGGAUCAAUAUACAAAGUCGCUUGUUGAUAAUGGAAAAUCCCUCAUCUCGUUGCUAAAAAAAAGCCCGAGAGGCUUAUGUUGAUGCUUUGUUCAUUCGUCAUAUAUUAGUUAUUGGAGGUGUAGUUUAUUCAGGUGGGCCAAAUGAAGUGACCUAUGAUAGUAUUAAAAAGAGAAAAUUUAAAAUGAGUCUGAAUAUAAUGAAAAUGAUUCCGUUGCCGGUAGUAAAAUCUCUAGUGAUAUGAUCAUAGUAUAGGAUCCGUUGGAAAUUUGAGGCAAAAAUAAAAGAUGACAAAUUUAAAAAAAAAUGAAAGUAGGCACUUUUGAGAUUGAGUUUUAUUAGAAUGUUGGAUAAAUAAUACAUGUGAUGUUGAAUUUCAUGAAUUUAAACAAUUGAUGUGCACUUAUGAGACUGAGUUUAAAAAAUGUUCCACACAAUACUACGUGUGAUUUUGAAAUUUAUAAAUGUAUUUGUAAAGCAGUCCCACUGUCAAAAGAGAAUAAUAAACAAGGUUGCGGUCGUUUUGUAAUGAUUAAAACAUUUAUGCUUCAUAUGUGAAAAUAAUUAAAAUAUCGUAUUUGACAAAUUCGCUUGGUUGAAAAUAUAUUAAGAACUAAAUGGUACAAAAAAUGACUACUAGUAUAUCAUUUGUUAUGUAUAUAAACCCCAAUAUAGUUCAUCAUGUUUCAAGAUUCAAGAUGUGGACUUAUUUUUGAACUAAAAUCACAGAUCACCAACAUGAUCAUGUACACAGCUGAAUGCCCUUUUAUUUAUUUAUUUUUUAUUUUUAUUUAUUUUUUUUUUUAUUUUAUUUUAAUACAAGAACUGCUAAUUACAAUAACUUUGUACAAAAUAAUUUAUUUUUUACAUGAUAGAAUUUAAGAUAGGGUUGGUGAAUAGUUUGCAGACGUUGCUAACGCAACUUUAACAGACCAAUCCUGAUCCUAGAACCAAUGGAUACCGAAACCAAAACUUAUUAACCUGUGUAAAAGCCGCGGUAUCCGAAUUCUAAAUAGCCGCCAUGUAGGCAGUCUCGCCUAUGAUUUGCACAUUUUGUUUACAAUUACCAAAGUGUAGAAUAUAUAUAUGUGUUGUAUCAAAUGUAGAAUUACAAAUUUGUUUGCGAAAAUGUAUUACUAUAAUGUCUCGAAAAUGGGUAACGAAAAUUCGUCUGUCCUCACACAAUCUAUGUAUUGAAACAUUUUGUUUUUAUGGAUUUAGUAGAAAUAGUUGAAUGUGUAUUAUGUGUUAAUAAAUGAAGUAGAGGAUGAAUUUCAUUUUAUUCUACAUUGUCAAAAAUAUACUGAUAUAUGAAAAAAGUUUAUCAAUAAAAAUUAUUGAUCUUAA